UCGCGAAAACUUCACAAUGGGGGCAACCCCGAUGAGGGAAUUCCUAGUGCUAGCACAUUUGUGUUAGCUUUUCUUUAGCUUAGAAAACUAGAGGAAUAAGGGCUGGGUAAGACGGGUGCCAGCCGCCGCGGUAAUACCUGCAGCCCAAGUGGUGGUCGAUUUUAUUGAGUCUAAAACGUUCGUAGCCGGUUCGGUAAAUCUUUGGGUAAAUCGGGGGGCUUAACCUUCCGACUUCCGAGGAGACUGCCGAACUUGGGACCGGGAGAGGCUAGAGGUACUUCUGGGGUAGGGGUAAAAUCCUGUAAUCCUAGAAGGACCACCGGUGGCGAAGACGUCUAGCUAGAAUGGAUCCGACGGUGAGGGACGAAGCCCUGGGUCGCAAACGGGAUUAGAUACCCCGGUAGUCCAGGGUGUAAACGCUGCAGACUUGGUGUUGGAGGCCCUUUGGGGGCAUUCAGUGCCGGAGAGAAGUUGUUAAGUCUGCUACUUGGGGAGUACGUCCGCAAGGAUGAAACUUAAAGGAAUUGGCGGGGGAGCACCGCAACGGGAGGAGCGUGCGGUUUAAUUGGAUUCAACACCGUAAAACUCACCAGGGAAGACUGUUACAUGAAGGCCGGGCUAAAGACUCUGCCAGAUUUUCA
rnacentral:rRNA from 1 species